rnacentral:rRNA from 1 species
AGAGUUUGAUCCUGGCUCAGAAUGAACGCUGGCGGCGUGCUUAACACAUGCAAGUCGUACGAGAACGCUUCAGCUUGUUGAAGUUAGUAAAGUGGCGCACGGGUGAGUAACGCGUGGGUAAUCUACCUUCGAAUUGGGGAUAACGUUGCGAAAGUGACGCUAAUACCGAAUAAUAUCAUAAGGACUUUGGUUCUUUUGAUCAAAGAUGGCCUCUCCUUGGAAGCUAUUGUUUGAAGAUGAGCCCGCGUCCCAUUAGCUUGUUGGUGGGGUAAUGGUUUAUUAAGGCAGCGAUGGGUAGCUGGUCUGAGAGGAUGAUCAGCUACACUGGAACUGACACAUGGUUUAGACUCCUACGGGAGGCAGCAGUGAGGAAUUUUGCGCAAUGGGGGAAACCCUGACGCAGCAACGCCGCGUGAGUGAUGAAGGCUUUCGGGUCGUAAAGCUCUGUCAAGUGGGAAGAACUUUUAUGGGGUUAAUAUUCUUAUGUUUUGACGGUACCACUGAAGGAAGCACCGGCUAACUCCGUGCCAGUAGUUGUGGUAAUAUGGGGGGUGUAAGCGUUAUUCGGAUUUACUGGGGGUAAAGCGCGCGUAGGCGGCCGUUUAAGUCAGAUGUGAAAGUUUGGGGUUCAAUCCCGGAAGUGCAUUUGAUACUAUUCGGCUUGAGUAUGGGAGAGGGAAGUGGAAUUUUUGGUGUAGAGGUGAAAUUUGUAGAUAUUAGGAGGAAUAUUGGUGGUGAAGGUGACUUCCUGGACCAAUAUUGACGCUGAGGCGCGAAGGCGUGGGGAGCAAACAGGAUUAGAUAUUCUGGUAGUUCACGCAGUAAACGGUGAUCACUAGGUGUAGCGGGUAUUGACCCCUGCUGUGCCGCAGCUAACGCAUUAAGUGAUCCGCCUGGGGAGUACGGCCGCAAGGUUAAAAUUUAAAGGAAUUGACGGGGGCCCGUAUAAGCGGUGGAGCAUGUGGUUUAAUUCGACGCAACGCGAAGAACCUUACCUGGAUUUGACAUCUCGGGAAUUUCUAUGAAAGUAGGAAGUGCCCUUUGGGGAGCCCGAUGACAGGUGCUGCAUGGCUGUCGUCAGCUCGUGUUGAGAUGUUGGGUUAAGUUUUGUAACGAGCGCAACCCCUAUCUUUAGUUACCAGUAUUUUGGGUGGGGAUUCUAAAGAUACUGCCCCGGUUAAUGGGGAGGAAGGUGGGGAUGACGUCAAGUCCUCAUGGCCUUUAUGUCCAGGGCUACACACGUGCUACAAUGGGCAGUACAGAGGGUUGCGACACUGCGAGGUGGAGCUAAUUCCUUAAAGCUGUUCUAAGUUCGGAUUGGAGUUUGUAAUUUGACUCCAUGAAGCUGGAAUCGCUAGUAAUCGCGGAUCAGUAUGCCGCGGUGAAUACGUUCCCGGGCCUUGUACACACCGCCCGUCAUACCAUGAGAGUUGGUUGUAUUUGAUGUUGUUGGGUAAAUUUAUUAGAGAUGUAGGUGUUUAAGGUAUGGUUGAUGAUUGGGGUGAAGUUGAAAUAAGGUA